UACGUAGGGGGCAAGCGUUGUCCGGAUUUAUUGGGCGUAAAGAGCUCGUAGGCGGUUGGGCAAGUCACGUGUGAAAUCUCCACGCUCAACGUGGAGGCGCCACAUGAGACUGCCCUGACUCGAGUCCGGUAGGGGAGCGUGGAAUUCCCGGUGUAGCGGUGAAAUGCGCAGAGAUCGGGAGGAACACCCGUAGCGAAGGCGGCGCUCUGGGCCGGUACUGACGCUGAGGAGCGAAAGCGUGGGGAGCAAACAGG
rnacentral:rRNA from 1 species